rnacentral:lncRNA from 1 species
CAAGUUAUUGGAAUUUGAAUAUAGAUUAUAGUUUUAAGUUUUAUAUAGGUUAGACGUUGUGUGACCUCAUAUCGAGGUAUUGUGAGACUAUUUGGACAUAGUCUAGAGAUGUGAGUGAAGCAUAGAGUCUAGUUAGAUGAUCAAGUUAAGUGUGGAUAUUUAAAGAGAUUGGGAUUCUUAAAUUUAGACAUAUGAUUCCUAGUAUAUUGACUAAUCGAGAUGGUA